rnacentral:rRNA from 1 species
UACGUAGGGGCCAAGCGUUGUCCGGAUUUAUUGGGCGUAAAGAGCUCGUAGGCGGUUCGGCAAGUCGGAUGUGAAAUCUCCACGCUUAACGUGGAGGAGCCAUUCGAAACUGCCGUGACUCGAGUCCGGUAGGGGAGUGUGGAAUUCCCGGUGUAGCGGUGAAAUGCGCAGAUACCGGGAGGAACACCUGCGGCGAAGGCGGGUUGCUGGGCUGACACUGACGCUGAUGCGCGAAAGCCAGGGGAGCGAACGGG